rnacentral:lncRNA from 1 species
CAUACUGAAGAUAAUGCAAGUGCUUUCAAAAUAAUUUCUUUCUAUAAUGAGUGGCACACAUAUCAAAAUCACAUUUCAAAAUCACAAAGCAAAAUAACACUUAUAUCAAAGUAAAACUUUAACAAAUACUUACUUAGCAAAUACGAAAGAUAAAUUAAACACUUGCACAUUUUUAUACUGAAAAUAUGUAGAAUACUUCAAAAUUACAUAGGCUAUGAAUCCAUAAUAUCUGCUUACCUUAGGUCCUUAGCAAUCGUAAUCAUAAUUCUAGUAAAGUUCUGACUUUAUUUAUGACUCUUUUGUCUAAAAAAUCCAGCGAAAUUUUGAGAUGAUUUU